rnacentral:rRNA from 1 species
UACGUAGGGGGCAAGCGUUGUCCGGAUUUAUUGGGCGUAAAGAGCGUGUAGGCGGCCAGGUAGGUCUGGUGUGAAAACUCGAGGCUUAACCUCGAGAUGUCAUCGGAAACCAUUUGGCUAGAGUCCGGAAGAGGAGAGUGGAAUUCCUGGUGUAGCGGUGAAAUGCGCAGAUAUCAGGAAGAACACCAAUGGCGAAAGCAGCCCUCUGGGACGGUACUGACGCUGAGACGCGAAAGCGUGGGGAGCGAACAGG